rnacentral:rRNA from 1 species
CAGCCGCCACGGUAAUACGAAGGGGGCUAGCGUUGUUCGGAAUCACUGGGCGUAAAGGGUGCGUAGGCGGAUUCUUAAGUCAGGGGUGAAAUCCCGAGGCUCAACCUCGGAACUGCCUUUGAUACUGGGGAUCUUGAGUCCGGAAGAGGUGAGUGGAACUGCGAGUGUAGAGGUGAAAUUCGUAGAUAUUCGCAAGAACACCGGUGGCGAAGGCGACUCUCUGGUCUGUAACUGACGCUGAGGAGCGAAAGCGUGGGGAGCGAACAGGAUUAGAUACCCGUGUAGUCCCUGUCUCUUAUAC